CUGGGAGGACCAUCUCCUAAGGCUAAAUACUCUCUAGUGACCGAUAGUGAACCAGUACCGUGAGGGAAAGGUGAAAAGCACCCCGGAAGGGGAGUGAAAUAGAACCUGAAACCGUGUGCUUACAAGUAGUCAGAGCCCGUUAAUGGGUGAUGGCGUGCCUUUUGUAGAAUGAACCGGCGAGUUACGAUUUGAUGCAAGGUUAAGCAGUAAAUGUGGAGCCGUAGCGAAAGCGAGUCUGAAUAGGGCGUUUAGUAUUUGGUCGUAGACCCGAAACCAGGUGAUCUACCCUUGGUCAGGUUGAAGUUCAGGUAACACUGAAUGGAGGACCGAACCGACUUACGUUGAAAAGUGAGCGGAUGAACUGAGGGUAGCGGAGAAAUUCCAAUCGAACCUGGAGAUAGCUGGUUCUCUCCGAAAUAGCUUUAGGGCUAGCCUCAAGUGAUGAUUAUUGGAGGUAGAGCACUGUUUGGACGAGGGGCCCCUCUCGGGUUACCGAAUUCAGACAAACUCCGAAUGCCAAUUAAUUUAACUUGGGAGUCAGAACAUGGGUGAUAAGGUCCGUGUUCGAAAGGGAAACAGCCCAGACCACCAGCUAAGGUCCCAAAAUAUAUGUUAAGUGGAAAAGGAUGUGGCGUUGCCCAGACAACUAGGAUGUUGGCUUAGAAGCAGCCAUCAUUUAAAGAGUGCGUAAUAGCUCACUAGUCGAGUGACACUGCGCCGAAAAUGUACCGGGGCUAAACAUAUUACCGAAGCUGUGGAUUGUCCUUUGGACAAUGGUAGGAGAGCGUUCUAAGGGCGUUGAAGCAUGAUCGUAAGGACAUGUGGAGCGCUUAGAAGUGAGAAUGCCGGUGUGAGUAGCGAAAGACGGGUGAGAAUCCCGUCCACCGAUUGACUAAGGUUUCCAGAGGAAGGCUCGUCCGCUCUGGGUUAGUCGGGUCCUAAGCUGAGGCCGACAGGCGUAGGCGAUGGAUAACAGGUUGAUAUUCCUGUACCACCUAUAAUCGUUUUAAUCGAUGGGGGGACGCAG
rnacentral:rRNA from 1 species